UACGGAGGGUGCGAGCGUUGUCCGGAAUUAUUGGGCGUAAAGAGCUCGUAGGCGGUCUGUUGCGUCGGCUGUGAAAACCCGGGGCUCAACCCCGGGCCUGCAGCCGAUACGGGCAGACUAGAGUUCGGCAGGGGAGACUGGAAUUCCUGGUGUAGCGGUGAAAUGCGCAGAUAUCAGGAGGAACACCGGUGGCGAAGGCGGGUCUCUGGGCCGAUACUGACGCUGAGGAGCGAAAGCGUGGGGAGCGAACAGG
rnacentral:rRNA from 1 species